AUUAUAGUUGAUUUACAUUGUUCUGUCAAUUUCUGCUGUACAGCAAAGUGACCCAGUUAAACAUAUGUAUACAUUCUUUUUUUCAUAUUAUCCUCCAUCAUGUUCUAUCACAAGUGAUUAGAUAUAUAGUUCCCUGUGCUAUACAGCAGGAUCCCAUUGCCCAUCCACUCCAAAUAUAACAGUUUUCAUCUCCUAACCCCAGUCUCCCACUCCCUCCCCCUCCACCCCUGGCAAACACAAGUCUGUCCUCCAUGUCCACUAACUUUUCUGUUUUAUAGGUAAAUCAUUUGUGCCAUAUUUUUAGACUCCACAUAUAAGUGAUAUCAUAUGGUAUUUGUCUUUCUCUUUCUGACUUACUUCACUCAGUAUGAGAGUCUCUAGUUCUAUCCAUGUUGUUGUAAAUGGCAUUAUUUUGUCCCUUUUUUGGCUGAGUAGUAUUCCAUUGUAUAUAUGUACCACGUCUUCCUAGUGCAUUCAUCUGCCUGACAGUUAUUCUUGACAGUAGGUGGAUGUCAGUGUGACAUAUCAGGAAUCAGGAGUGUCCCGAGAGGAGCUGGGUUCGGAGCUGGGCUCUGCUUUUUAACUGCUAUGUGGCCAAACUUCUCUGAGCCUUGGUCUCCUUAUUGAUGAAAUGGAAAUAAUAACUGUGUGCAUCUUUUAGGGUUACUUUAAAGAUUAAGUAAGAAAAUGCAUGUAAAAUGAUUAGUGCAGUUGCUGCCAUAUUAAGAAUAAAGUUAUUAGUAGCUUCUUUUUUGUCAUUGUUUUGUUAUUGUUUGUGUUACUGUGGUUGCCAGUCCCAAGAAAGCCUGGAUGUAUUGAUCUGGACUUUCCUCCUACCCACUGAGGAAAUCAUGGCUCUGGUUUGCCAAUCUGGCUGGGCUGGAGCCAAGGAUAAAAGCCAGGCAGGCAGGCAGGACCUUGCUCCUUCACCUUAGCUUAAGUGUCACUUACCCUGUUUGCCCUAUUUAAAGAGGUUCCCCCAGUCCCUGCCAUUAUUUUAUCAUCCUUGACCCAUGUCUGCUUCCAUCUUAGAAUGAGAUGAAUUUUUAUGAGUGUAUGUAUUUUAGCUCUUCUUCUAAACUUGGAAUUGGUAUUAUGCAUUAGAGAGAUUUAAGAAUUAAUGGCGCAUUAUAAGGGAAAACCAAACUCAUGUGAAGGAGGAAAGAAAAGGAGGAAAGAGGGCUAAAGCAGCACAUAGAUUUUCUGUGCUGACUAACUUGAAAUGAAAUCUCACUCUGAGUGUUCCUCAUUUUGUGACCUUAUGCAAAUUAUGUAACACGAGUCUCAGUUUACCAUAUCUGUGAAAUGGAAAGGGCAAUGUGAGAAUUCCACGGCAAAUAUAAUGUUGUCUACUUCAGUUGGAUAUUCACUAAGUGGUAAUUUUUAUAACAAUUGAAGAGCCAGUGUGAGAGUAAACUAAAUGAUGAUUAGUGAAUUUGUCACCUUUUCUUCCCUUCUGUCAAUUUCCCUGGUGGCUUAGCAAGUUAAAGAUGUGGCAUUGUCAGUGCUGUGGCAUGGGUUUGAUUCCUGGCCUGAAAACUUCCGCAUGCCACGGGCACAGCCACAAAAAACAAAACAAAGCAAAACAACCCUGAUGUCUCUUGUCAGUGAGUCAGGUCAGGAGAUGUGAGUUCUGUUAUGUGAGCCAACUUGCUGUUCACCUAAACUAAUGGGUUGGUCCAUCCCUAACCUGAACCACUGCCUCCAGGGGCCAAGAAAAGAAAGUUUAUCAAUUCUCUAUGAGACCUCAUGCUGGAUUGUUUCAGAUCUCUAGGUUCAUUUGCUUGGAGAUGAUCUCGAGUUCUUUCUGAUGUGGGUCCUGAUUUCGCCUCCUAACUCUUUCAAGCAUUAGCAGGAAAGGAAACAUGGCUGCUGACCAGGUUACAUAGGACCUGUGAGGUGUAUGCUUUUGAGUAUUAGGAGCUUGUUGGUUUGUGUGUUCUUAGUUGGUUUGCUUUCCUAUUAUGGGGUAACAUAUAUUGUAGAGUUGGAGAACUGCAUAUAGAACACAUAGGUAUUUUAAAUUGCUGUGUUGUACCUUUUUGGUUGCAAACAACCCACAGCCAACUCCGGCUAGCCCAGCAAAUAAGGAAUUUCUUUAUCUCAUGCAGUUGAGGUCCAGGAGUGGGAUGGCCCUCUCUGAGCAUUGUUAGGACUCUGUCUUGCAAGAUUGUGCUCACUGCUGAGUUGCUGCCUCCUGACCUCUUUUAGCCGACUUUCUCUUUGUGGGGGCAAGCCAAUCCAUGUUCUUAAAGCUUUUGAAAACCCAGCAGAAUGAUAGUCUCUAUCUCUCCCAGUAGUUGCUACUGAAUACUAGUAUUUGAGUAUCAUUCUCCUUUGACACAUGUCCAUUCAUCAGCCAGUCCAUGUGGCCAGCAGAGCAGAAUGCACUGAUUGGCCAGACCUGGUUUCUGACUCCACCCUCUGGAGACGGCAGAUGCAUCAGCCUCCUGUGAGUCACUGGACUGGGACUGAGAGUGGAGACAGGGCGUUUCUCCAAAGAACACUCAGGGUGGUGUUAUCAGAGGAAGAGGAGCACGGCCCUUGGGCAGGCAAAAACAAGGAUCCCCACUGCUCUGACCCUCUUUGAUUUGAACAGUGCCAGUGACUCCAGGAAAAUCUCUUGCCUGGUGGGGUCUCCAUGUCCCUUCCAGAGCUGCUUGCAGGCCCUGGGCCUAUGUUAUUUACAGCAUCAGCGCACCCCUCUCUUCUUUCUUGCAGUCAUGAUACCCCAGUCUUUCCCCCAGAGGUUGCAGUAAAUGGCCUUCUCUGAGCCACAAUCAAUGGCAUUCCGUAAGGUGUGACAGAAGAGGCCAUCUGGCACUUGUCCCACUGUUGUUUCUUGCUGUCCGGGGAGGAGGCACGUUGGUGGCAGAAGGUCACAGCUCAGCGAAGCACCACUGUCCCUCAGACGCCUCACCCUCCAGACUGAAGGCUGCAGCAGAGAAAAUGCCGCAAGAGUCGCACACCUGGCAGAAUUCCCCCUUUCCCUUUGUGAAAUUUCCCAUCAGAAUUGGUGUGUGGAAUAAUCAUCAUAAUGAAAAUGAUUUUUGAAUACCAUUAUAAGUUUCAGUGUUGCACGCAGUUCUUUCCCAAAUAUUGGUUAGAUUUUUUUUUUUAAGAUGCCUGCACAGAGAUCACUGGCCCAUUUCAAUUUUUAUUGAAACAAAUAAACCCAAUAAAAACACUUAUGCUGAGAGCUGUAGCGCCACAAUAAAAGAAUCACACUGUAUUGAAUUUAUUGAUUUAUUUAUUUACUCCAACUGGAAAAUCGAGUAUUGUGUUAAUGUAUUUUAUAAGAAUCACACUGCUCGAUGAAAUGGCUAAUUUAUUUUAGCGUAUACAUAAAUAGCUAGCAAUUUUCCAUGAGACAGCCUAAUGAAAAUGAUGCCGAUGAAAUUGUCUAUAUGAUGAGGAGUGACGGAGACGAGUUAUUAUUGGGUGAGUGCUAAGACGCACUGAACUGGCCAUCAUAUCUUUGAACUUUUGAACUGCUACUUGUUCUGUGUGAUUUAUUGAUUUUGCUAUCUCUUCUGUUUAGCUCAACUUUAGUUUUUGCCCAGCAGUGCAGAUAAGUGGCAUAGGAGAUUUAAUUUCAUGGGUAUUUGGGGUUAAAACCUAUCUUUAAGAAGAAUGCUAAACAUGUUUUAAUAAAACAUGAGUUGCAGGGGUUUUAAGUUUCUGGAUGAUAUGGAUCUGAUAAGGAACGAGGCAGUUGAGAGGACAGCCCAGGGUUCCAGGCUGGGGAAGCACUCUCUUUCUGAGCUCUGCAAGUUUCACCGGGGCCAUGUGCAUUUUACUUGCUCCAUCAGCCUGAGUGCCUCCUUAAUUGCCUGUAUCAUUUCUUCCCCUGCCUGUGCCCUGGUGUUCCCACCCCAGGUUUUGCUGGGGUGGUUUCUGGGGUCCUUGUAGGCAGCUGCGAGGUACAUUUAACCCGCUUCCUGGUGCACCGAGGGCUGGCUGCUCUUUACAUGCGUUCGUUUUGGCAGAUCUCUUAAGGAAACCCUUUUCAAGAGCAGCCACGGCUCUCACCUCCAGGAUAAAGACAUGGAAGCUGGCUCUGCGUUGGGGCCAGGCUGGCUCACUGCUCCUCCCUCUCCAGACCUGUUCUGUGGUCCUCUUCUGCGCUGCCGCUGUCCUCCUCAGCCAGCUCUGACCUUGGAAGGGGAGGUUUUCCUCCCUGCUUAAGGGGGGGUUGGGAGGGGAAGUACCAUACUGAGUGACAGUGGCCAGAGCGCAGCCUUACUUUUUUAUUGUUGUCUUUUCGACCUGCAGAACUUUCCUUAAAUAUGUAACAUCUUGGAAACUCAUUCUCGAUUUGUGUGUGUAUGAUUUGCUAAUUUCUAAAAGAUAUCUUGACAACAGUAUUUUAUGCUAGCUUUUUUCUUUGGGGAGGGGGGCAUUGGAGGAGGUGGGAAAGAGCUUUAUCAUGUAAAAGUAACCAUCCUAGAAAUUUCAGGUAAUAAAUUUUCAGGCGCAUGAACGGUUAAGACUCUUCACUCACUAACACAGUAUGUGAAUGUGGAAUUUUUAUGAAGGUAACGGUCUCUUUCUUUAAAAAUCUGAUUUAUUUACAAGGUACUUUUCAGUGACCAAGUAAUUUUAACCUUCAGGGAGAUAGGGGAAGGGGGCGUGGGAGGAGGUGAGUAAAGGGGGCUUGGUUCUCUGCAAGAGUUAGAAAAUUCACAUCCCCUUUAAUGAUUAAACUGGCAGGAUCUUUAUUUGGAUGUUAAAAGCUUUUUCUUACAUUGCAAACAUUCUCAGCAAAUUUACAGUCAGAUAUU
rnacentral:lncRNA from 1 species